rnacentral:rRNA from 1 species
UGGGGAAUCUUGGACAAUGGGCGCAAGCCUGAUCCAGCAACGCCGCGUGAGUGAUGAAGGCCUUCGGGUCGUAAAGCUCUGUCAGAGGGAACGAAAAACAGCGACCUAAUACGUCGUUGCUUGACGGUACUCUCAAAGGAAGCACCGGCUAACUCUGUGCCAGCAGCCGCGGUAAUACGAAGGGGGCUAGCGUUGUUCGGAAUUACUGGGCGUAAAGCGCACGUAGGCGGAUUGUUAAGUCAGAGGUGAAAUCCCGGAGCUCAACCUGGGAACUGCAUUUGUGACUGUAUAGCUAGAGUACGGUAGAGGGGGAUGGAAUUCCGCGUGUAGCAGUGAAAUGCGUAGAUAUGCGGAGGAACACCGAUGGCGAAGGCAAUCCCCUGGACCUGUACUGACGCUCAUGCACGAAAGCGUGGGGAGCAAACAGGAUUAGAUACCCUUGUAGUCCCUGAGCGGGCUGGCAAGGCGCAU